rnacentral:rRNA from 1 species
GGGGGGAGGCUGACCUUACUGGACUCGGUAGUCACCCAACUAUCCUUAUAUCAUAUGUCUAUGUGGCUCAUGAAUAAAACUUUCAUUGAUCGCUUAGACAAACACAGAAGAAAGUUUUUCUGGCAAGGCUGCAAUAAGAAGAGGAGGUACCAUCUGGUUAGAUGGGAUAGGAUCUGCAGAUCCAGAGAUAAGGGUGGCCUGGGUGUAAAGGAUUUACACAAACAGAAUGUUAGUUUGAUGGUCAAAUGGUGGUGGAAACUAGAGACCCAAACGGGUAUGUGGCAAGAUAUUGUUCGGGCGCGUUACUUGACUAAUAAAUCUGUGGCGUCGGUAAAGCCCAGUUUUUCUGAUUCCCCCUGUUGGAAAGCCCUGCUUAAAGUCAAAUAUAUCUAUUUGGUAGGUAGGAAAAUUCGUUUGGAAUCUGGUGACCUUCUUAGAGUCUGGAAAGAUUCCAUAAACGGGCUGAGUCCUUUUCAGACCCUCUACCCUUCGCUGUUUGAGAUCUGCAAUAAUCAGGAUUGCACUAUUGAUAGUUUCAAGUCUGUGGACGUCCACUCUUUCUUUAGAAGAAGACUCACCCCUGAAUUAUCUCGUCAA